GCCUGGGGUGCACGGAGGAAGCUCAGGGGCUGUUCGGUCCGCUUCCAGAACCAGUCUCCAGGGCUUCAUGGCAGAGCCUGGACACUGACGUGAUGGUGCAGGUCUUGGAGCUGUUGGCCUUGGAGUAAUUCCUGUCCCUUCCACCUGGAGAAACAGAACAGAAUGAAAACAGCAAGAAGGAGGUAACCAUGGAGGAUUUGAUCCAGAUGCUUGAAGAGAAAGCUCUACAUUUGCAGGAUUCUGCCCUUUCUCAUCUGGGAGACACAGAGGAGAAGGACUCUGGGAUCCUGAUGACCAGGUCUCAGGUGAGUUGAAGUUUCUUCUGUCUCUCCUGAAAAACCAUCUUGGGUCUCACUGAGUAGAAACAUUUCCUUCCUUUAUCUAGGAGCUUCCCUACCCAACAAAGCCCCAUCCAGGAUCCAGGAUCCUAACUCUUUUCCCUCAGGAAACUUAAACCUAUUCUGAUGCAUAAAGGACUUACUGAGAAUAUUGCCCAGCUUUCAC
rnacentral:lncRNA from 1 species